rnacentral:pre_miRNA from 2 species
AUAUUACUCCCUUCGUCCGGAAAUACUUACUGGAGUAAUGGAUGCAUCUAGACGUAUUUUAGUUUUAAAUACAUUUAUUUUCAUCCAUUUUCACGACAAGUAACUCUGGACGGAAGGAGUAUAUG